rnacentral:tRNA from 1 species
GAGUCCGUGGCUCAUUGGUUGAGCGUUCGACUGAAUAAACAAAUCUCGUGGGUUUGAAUCCCAGCUGGCUCA